UUUGAUCAUGGCUCAGACGAACGCUGGCGGCAUGCCUAACACAUGCAAGUCGAACGAGACCUUCGGGUCUAGUGGCGCACGGGUGCGUAACGCGUGGGAAUCUGCCCUUGGUUCGGAAUAACAGCGAGAAAUUGCUGCUAAUACCGGAUGAUGACGUAAGUCCAAAGAUUUAUCGCCCAAGGAUGAGCCCGCGUAGGAUUAGCUAGUUGGUGAGGUAAAGGCUCACCAAGGCGACGAUCCUUAGCUGGUCUGAGAGGAUGAUCAGCCACACUGGGACUGAGACACGGCCCAGACUCCUACGGGAGGCAGCAGUGGGGAAUAUUGGACAAUGGGCGAAAGCCUGAUCCAGCAAUGCCGCGUGAGUGAUGAAGGCCUUAGGGUUGUAAAGCUCUUUUACCCGGGAUGAUAAUGACAGUACCGGGAGAAUAAGCUCCGGCUAACUCCGUG
rnacentral:rRNA from 1 species